UAAACCCCUUUCAUCCCAAAAGCUAUCUCAGGGCAGGUCACAACAUCACAUAGCUCAGUGGCAGAGCAUCUGUCUUAUAUGCAGAAAGUCCCGAUUCAGUCCCCAGGAUCUCCAGAUGGAAGAACUGAGGCUAAGAAAGUGUCAGACAAUCCACUCUGUCUACUGUCAUCACAGUAGAAAGCAGAUUUGAACUGAGGUCCAGCUCAGUCUGUUAGCCACUAGACUACACUGCUUAGGCCUCGGUGCACAGGAGACUCUAUCUGGCAAAAGUUCAAAAGCUGGAGAAGAAAAGGAACAGGAUCUGCAGUCAGGAGGACUGGAUCUGCAGUAACCACUCACGGUUCCAUGAUUAGCAGCAACAGAAUCAGUUAUGCAAGAGGACUGACCUCUGAGCCCACCCUGCAGGCAAAUUGUCUGUUAAGGGAACAAUUAGCCCUCAGAUCACCCAUCAGGCUCCAAAAUAGGAUGUUGCAGCUGGAGGACUCUAUAACCUACUUAUACAACGCAAAAAUGAGAACAGGGGAUUGGACACUCACUUCUACUGACCCCUCCCGCAGGAGUCUCUGUUCCGCAUCCAAAUCAGCCCACUGCAGUUUGUAUGCAUGAGAGAGCGUGGUGUAGUGGUUACAGCAGCCUUCACCAAUCUGGUGCCCUCCAGACAUAUUAGGCUGGGACUCCCAUCAGUCCCAGCCAGCACAGCACCUUGGACAGCUCCUUGAAAGUUCUGACUAAAAACCAGGAGUAGAUUCCACUGCUUUGCUGACAUGGAGCCACCAACCACCACUGUCUGAUGCAGUACUGAGUCAGGAAGCAUUCAGCCCCUUAUCUUAGCAAAUUAACCACCACUUUGCUGCUGCCUUUGAACACAAGUAGAGCUCACAGCUUUCAUCAAAAACUGACAUACUUGGCCAAUUAAAAUAUUAGCAGAGUUCAAUAGAAGCAUCUAAUUUUAGCCACUCUGGAAAGAUGACUCAAGCAGCGAAUCACUCGGGGCUCCCCAGACUCUGCAGAAGAAGCACCCAAGACUCGAGCUUUCUACCAACUCAAGAUCAAUUAAUUGAUUACAUUUAAAUAAGUUUGCUUAUGGGGCAAAACCUCAACAGGAGCACAUUAAAGUCAAUGCAAGAUUAUUUAUAUAGUGCUUCUACAGGCUUCACAUACAUUAUCUCAGUAAUCCUUCCAACAACCUUGUAAGGUAGGCUGAGAUUAACAACCAUGUAUUGUAGCCCAGGUGCUAGGAUGAGAGAUGGCAGUACUGCAUACCUAAGGCUUGCUCAGUCACUCAGACAGUGAAUUCAAGGUGAAGAUUAAAUUUCAUCCAGUAACGCAGAAUGGUCAUUCUCUGGACCAUUUACAUUGCACUAGAUCUCCAAUGCUAUCAGAUGCUAUCAUCUGGAGGGUUCUCACUGGGCUCCUCAAGAAAGCAAGAGACUCCCCAGCAGAAAAAGUGGGGGCAGCACAAGGGCAGUAUUCAGGGUCAGUCCAAAGUCAGAGUCCAGAGUCUACCUCAGAAACAAGGGUGUCAGGCAAGAAUCAGGCUCUGAGCAGUCUGGGGUCAGAAGCCGUGCUGUCUGUAGGCAAUGCAGGAAGGGGGCAA